UACAGAGACUGCAAGCGUUAUUCGGAUUCACUGGGCGUAAAGGGUGCGCAGGCGGCCGAGUGUGUGAGGCGUGAAAGCGCGGGGGCUCAACCCCGCGUCGGCCAUGGAUACUGCUGGGCUUGAGCACUGUAGAGGCAGGCGGAAUUCCGGGUGUAGCGGUGGAAUGCGUAGAGAUCCGGAAGAACACCGGUGGCGAAGGCGGCCUGCUGGGCAGUAGCUGACACUGAGGCGCGACAGCGUGGGGGAGCAAACAGG
rnacentral:rRNA from 1 species